AGAGUUUGAUCAUGGCUCAGAACGAACGCUGGCGGCGUGGAUUAGGCAUGCAAGUCGAACGAGAAAGUACCCUUCGGGGUGCGAGUACAGUGGCGAACGGGUGAGUAACGCGUGGGAAACCUGCCUUCGAGUGGGGGAUAACAGCUCUAACGGGCUGCUAAUACCGCAUGACGCUGUUGAUCGCAUGGUCAGCAGUUGAAGAUGGCCUCUACAUGUAAGCUGUCGCUUGAAGAUGGUCCCGCGUCCUAUUAGCUAGUUGGUGGGGUAACGGCCUACCAAGGCGACGAUGGGUAGCCGGCCUGAGAGGGUGGUCGGCCACACUGGGACUGAGAUACGGCCCAGACUCCUACGGGAGGCAGCAGUCGAGAGGCUUCGGCAAUGGGGGCAACCCUGACCGAGCGACGUCGCGUGGGUGAUGAAGAUUUUCGGAUCGUAAAACCCUGUCAGGUGGGAUGAAAUGUCAUUUGGCGAAUACCCAAGUGGCUUGACAGUACCACCAGAGGAAGCUCCGGCCAACUCCGUGCCAGCAGCCGCGGUAACACGGGGGGAGCGAGCGUUGUUCGGAAUCAUUGGGCGUAAAGGGCUCGUAGGUGGCUCCGUAAGUCAAGGGUGAAAGACCAUGGCUCAACUAUGGGAACGCCCCUGAAACUACGGAACUUGAGUUCAGGAGAGGAAAGCGGAAUUCCAGGUGUAGCGGUGAAAUGCGUAGAUAUCUGGAGGAACACCAGUGGCGAAGGC
rnacentral:rRNA from 1 species